AAAAUAAUCCUACCCUUUGUGAAUUUUGUUUGUUUGAAUAAUUUUUUUUUUUUAAAAAAUUAUUGGAGUCUUUCCCUUUAGAGUUUGCUUUUGAGUUUGUAAAAGAAUUCGAAAACAUCUAAAGGGGAUGGUCAAUAAUUUUUUUUGAAAAAAGACAUUUUUUAAAAUUAAACUUUUUGUAUUCAUUUGUCUAAAAAUUAUUUUUAUAAUAUAAAAACAACUUUUGACAAUGGAUCUCUUGGUUCUCGCAACGAUGAAGAACGCAGCAAAAUGCGAUAAGUAGUGUGAAUUGCAGAAUACGUGAAUCAUCGAAUCUUUGAACGCAUAUUGCACUUUUUUAGUUUACUAAAAAAGUAUGUCUGUUUGAGUAUCAGUAAAAUAUUCUCAUAAAAAUCAUUGUGUAUUUUUAUGGUUAUGAGUGUUUUACAACGAUACAAGUUGUUUCACUUUAAAUUUUUUUUUAAUAUUGAAAUUUUUCUAAUUUUAAUAAUUAAAAUUGGAUAAAAUUUUCCCGUCAAAAGGAAUAACCUAAACAAUUUUAAAUGAUUAAUUUUAGCAAAAUUUUCGUAAAAAAGGAAAAUUUUUAUUAAAAUAACUUGAUCUCAAAUCAAAUAAGAGUACCCGCUGAACUUAAGCAUAUCAAUAAGCGGAGGAAAAGAAACUAACAAGGAUUCCCUUAGUAACGGCGAGUGAAGCGGGAAGAGCUCAAAUUUGAAAUCUUCAAGGUUUUACCUUGACGAAUUGUAGUUUAAAGAAGUGUUUUCUGCUGAAGUUUUGGUAAAAGUUCUUUGGAAUAGGACAUCAUAGAGGGUGAGAAUCCCGUAUUUGACCAUUAUUUUCAGCUUUGUGAUACACUUUCAAAGAGUCGGAUUGUUUGGGAAUGCAGUCCAAAAUGGGUGGUAAAUUUCAUCUGAAGCUAAAUAUCGGCGAGAGACCGAUAGCGAACAAGUACCGUGAGGGAAAGAUGAAAAGAACUUUGAAAAGAGAGUUAAACAGUACGUGAAAUUGUCAAAAGGGAAGCGUUUGACACCAGUGUUGUUUUCUCGAAAAUCAAUUAAAAAUGGCUCGAUUUUGUAUUGCUGAGACCUUAAAAGCUCACUGUACAUUUUUCGUGUCUUUUUUUAAUGCACUUUUCGUUUAACAAGUCAACAUCAGUUUCUUUUGUUGUAAAAGGGUCAUUGGAAGGUGGCUUUCUUUUCGGAGAAAGUGUUUAUAGCCUUUGGCCUCUGCAAUCGAAGAGACUGAGGUCUGCAGCGUAGACUCUUCGGGGUUAGAUACAUUUGUGCUAAGUUAUAGCUUUUUAUAGACAACUUGUUGACUAUAAUUAGUCUUGUAGCUUACUCGCUUAUGCUAUCU
rnacentral:misc_RNA from 1 species